GCCAGGUGCAGUGGCACACACCUGUAAUCCCAGCAGCUUGGGAGGCUGAGGCAGGAGGAUCAUGAAUUCAAAGCCAGCCUCAGCAAUUUAAUGAGGUACUAAGCAACUCAGUGAGACCCUGUCUCUA
rnacentral:sRNA from 1 species